CAGUCGCCACGGGAACACGUAGGUGGCAAGCGUUGUCCGGAAUUAUUGGGCGUAAAGCGUGCGCAGGCGGUUAUAUAAGUCAGAUGUGGAAUCCCCGGGCUCAACCUGGGAACUGCAUUUGAGACUGUAUGGCUAGAGUGUGUCAGAGGGGGGUAGAAUUCCACGUGUAGCAGUGAAAUGCGUAGAUAUGUGGAGGAAUACCGAUGGCGAAGGCAGCCCCCUGGGAUAACACUGACGCUCAUGCACGAAAGCGUGGGGAGCGAACAGGAUUAGAUACCCCGGUAGUCCCUGUCUCUUAUAC
rnacentral:rRNA from 1 species